UACAGAGGGGGCAAGCGUUGUUCGGAAUUACUGGGCGUAAAGGGCGCGUAGGCGGCCUUCUAAGUCGAACGUGAAAUCCCUGGGCUCAACCCAGGAACUGCGUCCGAUACUGGAAGGCUUGAAUCCGGGAGAGGGAUGCGGAAUUCCAGGUGUAGCGGUGAAAUGCGUAGAUAUCUGGAGGAACACCGGUGGCGAAGGCGGCAUCCUGGACCGGUAUUGACGCUGAGGCGCGAAAGCCAGGGGAGCAAACCGG
rnacentral:rRNA from 1 species